UACGUAGGGUGCAAGCGUUAAUCGGAAUUAUUGGGCGUAAAGAGCUCGUAGGCGGUCUGUCGCGUCGAAUGUGAAAACCCGGGGCUCAACCCCGGGCUUGCAUUCGAUACGGGCAGACUAGAGUUCGGUAGGGGAGUCUGGAAUUCCUGGUGUAGCGGUGAAAUGCGCAGAUAUCAGGAGGAGCACCGGUGGCGAAGGCGGGACUCUGGGCCGAUACUGACGCUGAGGAGCGAAAGCGUGGGGAGCAAACAGG
rnacentral:rRNA from 1 species